rnacentral:rRNA from 1 species
UACGAAAAGGUGCAAGCGUUGUUCGGAAUCAUUGGGGCGUAAAAGCGCACGUAGGCGGAUCGGUAUGUCGAUUGUGAAAGCCCAGGGCUUAACCUUGGAAUUGCAGUCGAAAACUGCCGAUCUUGAAUACUUGAUAGGGGUGGGAGAAUUCCUGGUGGAGCAGUGAAAAUGCGUAGAGAUCAGGAGGAAUACCGGAGGCGAAGGCGCCUACCUGGCAAGAUAUUGACGCUGAGGUGCGAAAAGCGUGGGGGAGCAAAACAGGAUUAGAUACCCGCGUAGUCC